CAUGGACAUUUUCAUAUAUGGUCACCUCACCUUUUUGAUAUUUCUGCUUUGGAUCAAAGGUUCAAUUGAUGCCAAGGAUGUCACACAAACUCCCAUGCUGUGGGAACAACAGGGUAAUAAUGCAACAAUGGACUGCAGCCAUACCAAGGAUGCUUCCUAUAUCCAGAUGUACUGGUACAGACAGCUGCCAGGAGAAAAUAUGGAACUGAUUGUGUUCACAACAACAGCCAAAAAAUACGAUCACGACUUUGGAAAAUUCAGCAAAGAGAAAUACUCAGCCACAAAGACUGAGGCUCGCGAUGGGACAUUUACAGUGAAGGACCUGGAGCCAAAGGACAGCGGCUGGUAUUUCUGUGCCGUCAGUAAGCACAGUGAUACAGACUCAUGUGAAAGCUGA